AGGCUAGUGAAAGAAACCCACGUGACCGGUAUGGCAAAUUGAGGCGCCAUCUGUCGACUGGGAUCAGAGUUAAAAUCUGCGUUCCGUCUCUUUCCUCCCAACUCUCUUCAACCCCCUCUCUGGCGGGAUCAACUCCCUUUCCUGCGGGAGGCGCGCUUUCCGCCGCCUUGCUGGCGCCGCCGACUUUGAAAUCCGUUAGAAAGUUUCGUGUCUGGCGUUGGUAAGGCGUGCGUUAGCCGUCGUCGCUCGUCCGUUUCAUGGUGCUCGCUCGCUGUGUGCUUGUGCGACGCGAUGUUUUACGACUCGCGCUGUUCGUGCAUAGUGCUUUGUUGCUUGAAUACUUCCAGAACAAGUCCCGGAAUAUAUGUGCCGGCCCCCAAAAGAACGACAGGGCGUAUUUCGGAACGCAACACAGCUGAUCGGUGCGCCCAGAGAAAAGCUGAAGAAUUGCAGAAUCGGCGCACUUCAAGAAGAGAUGCCAUGAAUCAUCCGAUAUCAGCCGUUUAUUUUCUCCGCGUUUAUCAUCACUAGUUAUAUGAAAAUCAACGUUUUUGGAAAUGUAGUCAAUAAAGUGCGGCCAAUAUUA